GACGAACGCUGGCGGCGUGCUUAACACAUGCAAGUCGAACGGAAAGGCCCUGCUUUUGUGGGGUGCUCGAGUGGCGAACGGGUGAGUAACACGUGAGUAACCUGCCCUUGACUUUGGGAUAACUUCAGGAAACUGGGGCUAAUACCGGAUAGGAGCUCCUGCUGCAUGGUGGGGGUUGGAAAGUUUCGGCGGUUGGGGAUGGACUCGCGGCUUAUCAGCUUGUUGGUGGGGUAGUGGCUUACCAAGGCUUUGACGGGUAGCCGGCCUGGGAGGGUGACCGGCCACAAUGGGCCUGAGGUACGGCCCAGUGUCCUACGGGGGGCAGCAGUGGGGAAUAUUGCACAAUGGGCGGAAGCCUGAUGCAGCAACGCCGCGUGCGGGAAGACGGCCUUCGGGUUGUGAACCGCUUUCGCCUGUGACGAAGCGUGAGUGACGGUAAUGGGUAAAGAAGCACCGGCUAACUACGUG
rnacentral:rRNA from 1 species